AGAUGGCGACCGGCGCACGGGUGAGUAACACGUAUCCAACCUGCCGAUAACUCGGGGAUAGCCUUUCGAAAGAAAGAUUAAUACCCGAUGGCAUAAUAGAACCGCAUGGUUUGAUUAUUAAAGAAUUUCGGUCAUCGAUGGGGAUGCGUUCCAUUAGGUUGUUGGCGGGGUAACGGCCCACCAAGCCUUCGAUGGAUAGGGGUUCUGAGAGGAAGGUCCCCCACAUUGGAACUGAGACACGGUCCAA
rnacentral:rRNA from 1 species